rnacentral:rRNA from 1 species
UCAGGCCUAACACAUGCAAGUCGAGCGGACAGAAGGGAGCUUGCUCCCGGAUGUUAGCGGCGGACGGGUGAGUAACACGUGGGUAACCUGCCUGUAAGACUGGGAUAACUCCGGGAAACCGGAGCUAAUACCGGAUAGUUCCUUGAACCGCAUGGUUCAAGGAUGAAAGACGGUUUCGGCUGUCACUUACAGAUGGACCCGCGGCGCAUUAGCUAGUUGGUGGGGUAAUGGCUCACCAAGGCGACGAUGCGUAGCCGACCUGAGAGGGUGAUCGGCCACACUGGGACUGAGACACGGCCCAGACUCCUACGGGAGGCAGCAGUAGGGAAUCUUCCGCAAUGGACGAAAGUCUGACGGAGCAACGCCGCGUGAGUGAUGAAGGUUUUCGGAUCGUAAAGCUCUGUUGUUAGGGAAGAACAAGUGCGAGAGUAACUGCUCGCACCUUGACGGUACCUAACCAGAAAGCCACGGCUAACUACGUGCCAGCAGCCGCGGUAAUACGUAGGUGGCAAGCGUUGUCCGGAAUUAUUGGGCGUAAAGGGCUCGCAGGCGGUUUCUUAAGUCUGAUGUGAAAGCCCCCGGCUCAACCGGGGAGGGUCAUUGGAAACUGGGAAACUUGAGUGCAGAAGAGGAGAGUGGAAUUCCACGUG